rnacentral:misc_RNA from 1 species
GAAAUGCGAUAAGUAAUGUGAAUUGCAGAAUUCAGUAAAUCAUCGAAUCUUUGAACGCACCUUGCGCUCCUUGGUAUUCCUUGGAGCAUGCCUGUUUGAGUAUCAUGAAAUCUUCAAAGUAAAUCUUUUGUUAACUCAAUUGGUUUCUACUUUGGUAUUGGAGGUCUUUGCAGCUUCACACCUGCUCCUCUUUGUUCAUUAGCUGGAUCUCAGUGUUAUGCUUGGUUCCACUCGGCGUGAUAAGUUAUCUAUCGCUGAGGACACUGUAAAAGGUGGCCAAGGUAAAUGCAGAUGAACCGCUUCUAAUAGUCCAUUGACUUGGACAAUACUUUUAUGAUCUGAUCUCAAAUCAGGUAGGACUACCCGCUGAACUUAAGC